ACUGACCUAGACCACUAUUGUAAAGCUACCUAGAGACAAAAAACACUUACAAUAAAACACACGCCAUUGUGUGACUAACGCCAACUACCACAGGUACGGUAUUUCCGCCUUCUCCUCAGUUUUGCUCGCCGCGGAUUCGGUUACCCCUGGCAACUGGCACCCGGAAGCGGAUGAUCCUCCCGACGCAGCGUCAGGUCAGGGGUAUCCUAACGCUGCGUCCCAACGCCUGGGUCGUUCGUUUCUCUUCAUCUCUUCUCGAAGGCAUUUUAUCAUCUCACAUCAUCGCAAGCAGGGUGCUGAUGCUUGAUGCUUUUUGAUAGCAAAUGAGAGAAAACCAAGAAAAAAUGCUCAUUGUGCAUUAAGUCAUCUGGUUAUUUGAGCAUGGUUGAGAAUGUUGAAGAGGCAUCCCUGGUAUGUUCCAGAACAAGUAGGGAAGUACGACCACUCUACCAUUGUGCUGACUUUAUGGCAGAUGGACUGGAGGAAUGAAGGGGCAGGUGGCUGGUGUGAACCAGGGGUCCUGUAGAAGCAGCAGAGGUUAAAGCUGAGGCAGGAAUUGACGAGAAGUAAGAAUGCAGAAGCAACACACAAGUAUGUCUGGACUAUAUCUAAACAAACCUUUCUGACAGCAUAAAUCAAGAAGGAUAAAUCAUUCAGACAGGAGAAAUCUUUUGAACUGUGGACGGACAAGGCGAGUGAGAGGCACAGAGGGAAAAGGAAAACCUGUUGGAGAGAUCCUGAUGAUGAGACAGGAAUUCACAGAUGAGACUUGAAAUCAAACAUGCAAGUGCUUCCCCGCAGUUUACUUGCUUCCAGUCCCAACAGCUGAAAAGAAAUUUAAAUACAAUCUAAUGAAGUCCAACACUUCAUUUUACAGACGAGAAAACCGAGUCCCAGGAAGGUAAAGGAGUGUGUUCCAUGGAGCAAACCGAAUUCUGUUUCUAUUUCUGGUGACAGGAUGCAAUGUCAUAUUGAAGAGAUGUGUUAAGUUGCAAGUCAUAGAAAAUCAAAAACUUAAGAUAGUUUUGAAAACUGGAGUCCUUAUAACAACUAUUCUUUUUGUCAGACACAUAUUAUUUUGAGCCACUAUGCUGUCUUAGAAGCUUUCCUCCGCUCCAUGCAAGGAUAUGAUCAUUCAUUGGCCCCUUAAUUUACAGAUCUGUGCCACCCCAUACAGUAGCCAUCAGCCACAUAUGACUAUUUAAUUGAAUUUUAAGUUAAUUAAAAUUAUGUGAAAAUAAAAAUUUAGUUCCUCUGUUACUCUAGCCACAUUUCAAGUACUCGACAGCUACAUGUGGCAAGAGGCUGCUAUAUUGGAGGGGCACACAUAGAAGUUUCCAUCGUUGCUGAAAGUUCUCUUAGGCGGUACUGUUAUGGAUCACCAUUCAGGGCACGAAGAGAGUAGAACACCAAGUCAGGCACAUAAUGUGAUGGGCUAAUCCAGGGUGUAGCAUCUAAAAGUGUGGAUCUUAUGGGGCGCCUGGGUGGCUCAGUUGGUUAAGCAUCUGACUUCAGCCUAGGUCAUGAUCUCGCCAUUCCUCUGACAGCCCCUCCUGAGUUCAAGCCCCUCCUCUGACAGCUCAGACCCUGAAGCCUGUUUCAGAUUCUGUGUCUCCCCCUCUUUCUCUGUCCCUUCCCCACUCACACUCUGUGUCUCUCUCUCAGAAGUAAAGAAACAUUAAAAACAUUAAAAUAAAAGUAUGUGUUUCAUAAUCUAUGGGUCCCUAAACAACUUCUCAGCCAGCUAUGGAAAACCAGCAGGGCUAUGUUUUUUUGAUUUCUCCAGCCCUCUUUCUCCUCCUACUUGUGCCUUCUCUAAUAUUCUCCUUUUUUUUGAGUGUUUUAUAAUCUUGUGGGUACCUUAUUUAUUCCUUCUUGUGUGCAUGAUUCGAUUCCAUUCCACAACAUCCAGUGGAUACGUACCGUGUGACAGACGUUGCACUUACAUAACAAAAAGGAAACAUCAGAUGCUCAGUCAUCACUGAGUGGGUCGGGAGGAAAAUACGUGUCCAGAGCCCAAGCCGCACAGGGACUGAACUUCUCAGACCAUUCGAAUUGGCAAAAACGAGAAUUAUGAGCAAAACUAUGUAGACUAAUAGAUGGAAGCUUAUUUCGAGGGGUUUAGUGACUUGCCCAAAAUAAUACUGAUGGUAAAAAAACAAACAAACAAACAAACAAACAAAAAGUGUCCUCAGACUGGAAUCCAUGUCUUUUUACAUUGAGUCCAGUGUUUUUCUCUAAUCCAUUCACGUCCCAGCGUAGAGACUGAUUUAUGCCAAAUUCAUAGUUUCUUUUGAUAUCUGCCAAUGAAUCAUCAAAUAAGUUGUGUCUUGCAUAUAUUGACAUUCUUUCUUUUUAAGCCCAAUUUUCUCAAUCUCUUUGAACAAAGGCAGACUUAUAUUUGCAUGGGCUUUUCUUUGGAGCCCUUAGCUAAGUGCUUCUAAAGGGUCCUCGUGUUGAAUUGAUCUGUGCUUGAUGUUCUACCAAUACUUUGAACUCUUACGUGUUGACAGAGUUUAAAUGUGAAUUAAACAAGUGCUCUUUCUAUUGAUAGAAAGGAUGUAUAUAUUUUUUAUCAGCUGGCAGAUGAAUAAAAUCACCUCGUUUGCAGGCAGUCAAGACGACGUGGGUAGUGUGCAGCUCUUCAGGUUGGUACUUCCCACGACCGUCUGUAUAACAGUGUGAUUCAUUCAGGGACACCUAAAUCCAGAUGCUAUUCGAACUCUAGGUCUUGUAUAGAUUUUCUCAUUCAGUGGCACUCGCGUGGAAAUUUGACCACACCACCCCAUCAGUCAAGUGGCUUUAACUGGGCCAAUUCUUGUCUCUGUACCACCUUCUUUGGAAGUGCUUCACCCACACCACGUGCUACUCAGUACGAAGGCUGGUAUGCUAGAUACUUUCCCCACACAUACAAGUUAUCGGUCAAAUGUUAAUUUUUAUGUUUUGGUGAAGUCUCCAAUAUCCUGUGUCGCUCGAACUUAUUUUAAUCGCAAAUUGUAUCAUAGUGGGAUGGUAGUGCGUGUAUUUAUAAAAUGAACCUAGUUAGAGAUUGUCCUUAUCUUCAUCCGUAGAAACUUUCGAUAACCUAUGGUGUUUUCUGAUCCUAUCCAUCAAAUUUGCCAUACAAGAUUUCACUGACUGAAAUUUUCCUAAUCUUUCAUAGAGCAUGACCUGAUGAUUCCAUUAUCUUUUUUCACUUUGUCAUACUCUCCUGCCAAAACAAAUAAAACAAAACAAACUAGCAAAAGUUCUCUCUAGGAUGAUUUUUCCACUUUUAAGUGCCUCACACCCCUUUCUGUCCAAUCCAUCAAUCCAAAGAGUCCUUUCUUUCUUUCUUUCUUUCUUUCUUUCUUUCUUUCUUUCUUUCCUUCUUUCUUUUUUAAUGUUUAUUUAUUUAUUUUGAGAGAGAGAAGGAGAGAGAGUGUGGUGUGUGCGUGAGCAGGAGAGGUGCAGAGGGACAGAAUCCCAAGCAGGCUCCACACUGUCAGUGAAGAGCUUGUCACAGGGUUUGAUCUCACAACUGUGAGAUCAUGACCUGAGGCGAAAUCAAGAAUGCAAUGCUUAACCAACUGAGCCCCCCGGGCACGCCCGAGAGUCUUUUCUUUCUUACCUACAAUUGAUUUGUUUCCCUCUUUCAAGGUUUUUCUCUAGUAUCUCAGAAUUCAAAGAUUCUCAUAACCAACAAUACUGUUCAUGUGUUUUAAAUACACUCUUCUUUGCAUAAGAAAGUACAUUUAUACAUUGAAUCAUAUAUACUGGCCAGUGUCAAGAAAUAAAUUAACGUUUUCAUAACACAAUACUCCCUAGCUUUGUGACUUUGGGCAAGUAACUAACAUUCUGGUCUCUAACGUUCUCGUCUGAAAAAUUACGUAAACGUAUAUAAUAAAAAGAAUUAAAUACAAAUUAUAAUAAAAAUAUAACAAAAAAAACACAACAAAAAGAAUUAUCUUUUUAAAAUUGAAUUCUUUUUAAAGAAUUUUUCUUUUUAAAAAGAAAUAAAAAUAUUGCUGGUAUUCUGUUUCCGUCAUUUGUCUUUGAAAAGGAUCUGUUAAGGAAAACAGUACCUCGCAAUUUUAUUCCCUAAUAGCUGUGUGACAGAGAAUAACUCAAUAUAUUCUUUUCUAGAAUUUGUUAUCACUAAUGAAAGUAAUUUGAAAAAAAUUUUUUGGUCGAAGAUAAAAUUUGUCAUUUUCUUGAGGAUUUUUAUGACUCACUGGUAGUAAGAAUGGAGCUGGAUAUUUUGCAAAAUAAAUAAAUCCUGAAACGAACUACAAAAAUAAGAAAAAAAAAACCUUUUUUUUUAAAAAAAUUUUUAUUUACAAAAAAAACCUUCGUAUGUUCAGCUUAAAAGUAGUUUUGUGUCAUUAAAAUGUAUCCCAGUUAAUAUUACAUAGCAUUAGAAAACUCCACCAUAUUCUUGAAUAAUCCACAUCUGGAAAUUGGCUGCACACUGAAAAUGACAUUUAUACUGAUUUCGGCUGGAAUCGUUUGUAUUUGUUCUGUGGCUUGGGAAUCUCUCCAUCCAGUGAAGGAGCACAGAGCUGACUUUCUCCUGGUCAUUUCUGUAAUACACACACCUCUCUCUCAUAGCCACAGCACACUUUAACUAGAUGACUUGGUUUUUGUUUUUUUUUGUUUUUUUGUUUUUGUAUCUUAUCACAUUGAGAUACGUGGCACAUACUAUUUCAAGGACAUUUUGUAUACAACAGACAAAUUCUAAAUCAGAGUGAUUACUUGAAAAAUAUUUUAGAAACCAAAAUAGACCAUCACUUUCUAGACUUUUCUUUUAAAUAUUUUUUUAAUGUUUAUUUAUUUUUGAGAGACAGAGUGUGAGCAGGGGAGGGGCAGAGUGAGAGAGAGAGGGAGACACAGAAUCUGAAACAGGUUCCAGGCUCUGAGCUGUCAGCACAGAGCCCACCUGGGGCUCAAACUCACAGACUGGGAGAUCAUGACCUGAGCCAAAGUCGGAUGCUAAACCGACUGAGCCUGCCAGGUGCUCCUACACUUUUCUUUUAAAUAAAAGUUACUUACGUGGUCUAUCUACUAACUAUACACUAACUUAAUCUUGCUGUGGCCCCAGCUCAAAUCUCAGGUAUGCCAAUGAAACCUUGCUCUUGUUUGGGUUCCUGUUAUGAAUACUUAAAGCACAUGUCGUUCAUUGCCAUAAGUGCCCCUCAGUAUGACUCUAUUGUCCACAGAGAAAAUGUUAGAUCCUGAAGUACAUGAACUAUUUAUGUGUCCUCGACAUGAGCAAAGCACCAGCCAGACUGUAAUACUUCUCCCCAAUAUAUAAAUUUAAUAAAAUUAUAUCACACAAAAAUUACUUCGGACAAAUUAGUCUUGAGCAACCCAAACCGAUAAGUGGAGAAAAAGAACAAUUAACAUAAACAAUUUGCUUUUAUCAAUUUGACCACAUAACUUUGUAUUCAGUUGGCACGUAAUCACUACUUACUGAUUUGCCAUGAAAGACCUUUGCUCCUUUCUGAUUCUAUGUUUGCCAACAUGCAGUUUAUAUU